UACGAAGGGUGCAAACGUUGCUCGGAAUUAUUGGGCGUAAAGCGCACGUAGGCCGCUAUCUAAGUCGGAUGUGAAAUCCCUCGGCUUAACCAAGGAAGUGCACCCGAAACUGGAUAGCUUGAGUACAGAAGAGGAUCGCGGAAUUCCCGGUGUAGAGGUGAAAUUCGUAGAUAUCGGGAGGAACACCAGUGGCGAAGGCGGCGAUCUGGGCUGAUACUGACGCUGAGGUACGAAAGCGUGGGGAGCGAACAGG
rnacentral:rRNA from 1 species